GACGAACGCUGGCGGCGUGCUUAACACAUGCAAGUCGUACGGUAAGGCCCUUUCGGGGGUACCCGAGUGGCGAACGGGUGAGUAACACGUGAGUAACCUGCCCACAACUUUGGGAUAACGCUAGGAAACUGGUGCUAAUACUGGAUAUGUGCUCCUGCUGCAUGGUGGGGGUUGGAAAGCUCCGGCGGUUGUGGAUGGACUCGCGGCCUAUCAGCUUGUUGGUGGGGUAGUGGCCUACCAAGGCGGCGACGGGUAGCCGGCCUGAGAGGGUGACCGGCCACAUUGGGACUGAGAUACGGCCCAGACUCCUACGGGAGGCAGCAGUGGGGAAUAUUGCACAAUGGGCGCAAGCCUGAUGCAGCAACGCCGCGUGCGGGAGGACGGCCUUCGGGUUGGAAACCGCUUUCAGCAGGGACGAAGCUUUUUGUGACGGUACCUGCAGAAGAAGCACCGGCUAACUACGUG
rnacentral:rRNA from 1 species